rnacentral:rRNA from 1 species
GACAGAGGGGGCAAGCGUUGCUCGGAAUCACUGGGCGUAAAGGGCGCGUAGGCGGGAUGGCAAGUCAGUCGUGAAAUCUCUCGGCUCAACCGAGAAACGUCGGCUGAUACUGCCGUUCUUGAGGGAUGCAGAGGAGACUGGAAUUCCCGGUGUAGCGGUGAAAUGCGUAGAUAUCAAGAGGAAUACCGAUGGCGAAGGCAGGUCUCUGGGCUGACACUGACGCUCAUGCACGAAAGCGUGGGGAGCAAACAGG